AGUGGCGCCUGCAGUGUCUUCCGCAUCCGGCCCCGCCCCUCGGCGCGCGGAAGUGACGUGAGCGGAGGCUGCUUUUCCGAUUCUGGAGUUGAUGCGGGGCGGAGGGGCUUCGGCCGUCCAUUCCCAGCUCCUGCUGUGGGUUGUAACCUGUUCCCGGUAUUCCGUGAGCGCCGGAGGGAUGCGGUCUCGUCCAGCUCGUGGCAACAAGCUCUAACAGGCCCAGAACGAAAGCGAAAAUUGCAGCACACAGUUUCCAGUCUCAUCUUUACGGCCAAUUUCCCAGAGGCAUUGGUGUGUCCCUGUGUGAUCAUUCCUGUUUCCAGCAAUCUACUUCUGAGGGUCCUCAUACUACUGUAGUGCAUAUUUCCAGUGUCUUGGGAAGUGGAGGACAAGAAAACAACAACAAAAACUCAGAUGUGGCCAGUUCUCAUCCUUGUUCCACACCCUCCAGAGGCUCCUGAAGAUACGAGGACUUUCAUGAGCUGGUCUUGGCCCGCUUCCUUAGCAGCCACCCCAUGCUCUGGCCCCCCCAGAUCCUCUAGCAGUGUAGAUCUGUGACUCUCCGUGCACAUCCCAACGCGUUGUGUUCAUCACUUCCUGUCAUCCCAAUGCUGGGGGAGGGAUUCUGCCCUCUCGUUCUGUCAGGCAGGAUAGAUAGCUGCUAGGGCAGGAGGAAGGGGAAGGGGUGGAGAGGGGAGUUGAUCUCACUUCUGAACAAAGAAGUCAGCAGUCAGUAAAAUCACCAGAUGGUCUCAUAAAUUCUGGGAAAAACAACACUGUAAAAGGGGGACUUUGAAAUCUAGUCUGUUGCCCAAGACAUCCAGUGGAGGAAAGUAUAAAACCCUUGAACCCCCACCGACAAGCUGAGUUGCCUGCUUGUGCUUUAU